GAGACUCUGUGCGCGUGCAUAUCAAUAAGCGGAGGAAAAGAAACUAACAAGGAUUCCCCUAGUAACGGCGAGUGAAGCGGGAAGAGCUACAAAUUUGAAAUCUUAAAGGGUUUCCCUUUACGAAUUGUAGUUUAAAGAAGUGUUUUCUGUUGGAGUUUCGGUAAAAGUUCUUUGGAAUAGGACAUCAUAGAGGGUGAGAAUCCCGUAUUUGACCGUUACUUUCCAGCUGUGUGAUACACUUUCAAAGAGUCGGAUUGUUUGGGAAUGCAGUCCAAAAUGGGUGGUAAAUUUCAUCUAAAGCUAAAUAUUGGCGAGAGACCGAUAGCGAACAAGUACCGUGAGGGAAAGAUGAAAAGAACUUUGAAAAGAGAGUUAAACAGUACGUGAAAUUGUCAAAAGGGAAGCGUUUGACACCAGUGUUGUUUAGUUGAAAAUCAAUUCAAUAUUUUUUCGAUUCUAAGUAGUAUUGACCUUCAUCAGCUUGCUGCUUUUCUUCUCAGGAAAUUAUUUAAUGCACUUUUCAGUUAACAAGUCAACAUCAAUUUCUUUUGUUGUAAAAAGGUAAGAGGAAGGUGGCUUGCGCUUCGGCUCAAGUGUUUAUAGCCUUUUAUCCUCUGCAAUCGGAGAGAUUGAGGUCUGCAGCGUAGAUCCUUCGGGGUUAGAUACAUUUGUGCUAAGCUAUAGCCUUGUAUAGACAACUUGUUGACUAUGCUCAGUCAUGUAGCUUACUCGCUUAUGCUAUUUUACCUACGCUUAGGAUGUUGACAGCAGUAUAGACUGU
rnacentral:rRNA from 1 species